UACGUAGGGUGCAAGCGUUGUCCGGAAUUAUUGGGCGUAAAGAGCUCGUAGGCGGUUUGUCGCGUCUGCUGUGAAAACCCGAGGCUCAACCUCGGGCCUGCAGUGGGUACGGGCAGACUAGAGUGCGGUAGGGGAGAUUGGAAUUCCUGGUGUAGCGGUGGAAUGCGCGGAUAUCAGGAGGAACACCGAUGGCGAAGGCAGGUCGUCUGGGCCGAUACUGACGCUGAGGAGCGAAAGCGUGGGGAGCGAACAGG
rnacentral:rRNA from 1 species